GGGGAAUAUUGCACAAUGGGCGCAAGCCUGAUGCAGCCAUGCCGCGUGUGUGAAGAAGGCCUUCGGGUUGUAAAGCACUUUCAGCGGGGAGGAAGGCGGUGAGGUUAAUAACCUUGUCGAUUGACGUUACCCGCAGAAGAAGCACGGGCUAACUCCGUGCCAGCAGCCGCGGUAAUACGGAGGGUGCAAGCGUUAAUCGGAAUUACUGGGCGUAAAGCGCACGCAGGCGGUCUGUCAAGUCGGAUGUGAAAUCCCCGGGCUCAACCUGGGAACUGCAUUCGAAACUGGCAGGCUAGAGUCUUGUAGAGGGGGGUAGAAUUCCUGGUGUAGCGGUGAAAUGCGUAGAGAUCUGGAGGAAUACCGGUGGCGAAGGCGGCCCCCUGGACAAAGACUGACGCUCAGGUGCGAAAGCGUGGGAGCAAAC
rnacentral:rRNA from 1 species